rnacentral:sRNA from 1 species
GCCUUGAUAGCUGCCUGUGCAGCAGGAGGCCACGGCCAUGCUAUGAUUAUUGAACGCUAUCCAUCUUGAGAAUUAUGGAAGUAGUAAUACUUUUACACAAAUUUAUUUAUGACACAAAGUUCGGUACACUCUGAGAGUUGUAUUCAAAUAAACAAUUUUUUGAUUUCAUUUUUUUUUUUAAUUCUUUUUGUAAUUUAUUCAUGACAGAAAAAAUACAAAAGUCUUUUCAUGAAAACAUUUUAUUUUUAAAUGUAGUGCCAUAUUUCUGUAUUUUUGUCUGUUUCACACUGUUACAGCCUGUUGUUUCAUCAAUGAAAUAUUUUAUUUAUUAUGUCUUCAAGGCCAUCUCAUUACUUAUGUGGGCAUUGGAAAUCCCAGCAAGGUUAUCUAGGCUGCCAUAUUAAAAAAGUACCUUUUGUAUGAAAAUUGUCUGCUUCUAGUUUCUUUUUAAAUAGCUCAUAUUCAUGUUGAAAAAGCUUUGUCAAGAAAGAUUAAAACUAAAAACAUAUACAUUAGCACACAAAAAUGUUCAGUAAUUGUGAACAUUGAAUAUAGGAAAAAGUUAACUAUGGACUUCAGGUUUUGAACUUUGCCAUUACCUUAAUUGUUGGUUGCAUAGCAUUGACCUUUCAUCCUUAGCCUUGAAUUUAUUUUCAUGAUAGUUUUUUUAGUUUAAUUUUGCACAUGCUCCUGUUCCGUAGUAGAGUGAUAAUCUUGUUAGGUGUUGUGUUUUUUUC